UGUAUUUUCUUAUUUCUCUUAUCCCUUUCAACUAAAUCGAGAGUAUUAUGUGGGUUCUAUGAUGAUUGGUGUGAGAUCUUUGAUUGUGACUGGGAUUUUCACGACAUGGGUUCGAUCAGGAAAUUAUGGAACGAAGGUUUGAAUGUUUGCCGUUUUCUUAUGGGGUUUACUCAAAAUUUCGAGGUACCUUUUUGGUCGGUUUGGAAUGAGGUACGAUUGAAGUUUCUCUGGAUCUAGAGGACGAGCUGAAAGGGAAGGAGGAAGAUUCAGCGGAUUCGAUAACGAUCUAUAAGACAGAGGAGCGAUCUCUGUGGAGGCACAAGAGGGAAGUAGAUUUUUUGUUGCGGAGGAUAUUUGCAAUCAUUUUCAUGGAAAGUUGGGGCAAACUAAGUUGACAAAAGCUAUUACAAGGUUUAUGUGUUUUUGCAGUUGCAGUGAGUAUAUAACAACGGGGAGAACGGGAAAAAAAAACUGAAAAGGUUUGUUUUCGAACAAGGUGGGUUUGCUCGUUAUGUUUGUGUUUCACUGGGUCUUGAACACUGAAGAGAAUAUUGAAGUACGAUGGUUUUAUAAGAUAGGUUUAUAUAGCUAGGACUAGGAGCCAAUGUACAAGUCUCGGCAUGAUGAGUUUGGUUACAUUCAGUGGGUCUGACAUUAAGGUUAUCUAUGCUUACUGGAAAAAGGCUUUAUCAAUGGACUAGGUUCUGGAUACAAUGGUAUAUGUUGCUGCACCUUAAAGGGAAUCCUGGGAUCAAAACUAUACUAAAAGGAGCAAAAGAAGCCUUCUUACGGCAUCCACGUCGGACAGGAAAUUCGACCAAUAGAGAUGAAGCAUUCUUCCACGUCAUUUAGUAAUGGCUUUGGGUUGGGCUUUUGUUCAGACAGGUUUGCUUUCGGUUGGGCUUAGUUUGUUUAGAAGCCAUCGUCAUCUUCGCUACCACUUCGUCUUCUUCCCUCCGAUCCCGUAGAAACCGAUCCCCCUCUACACAAUCAAUCCCAUCCUUUACUUCGAUCAAUCAAUUUUGUCUUGAUGAUUUCGUUUCAGCUCCCUCUGUUCCUCCUUCUUUAUAUACUGAUCCUCUUUUCUUUGUACAAACCCAAACCCUGUUUAUAUGAUCAUUUUUCACUGAUUUAAAUCUCAGCUUUCUGCCGGCAAAUGUCCCGUCGCCUUCCAUUUCAACGACGUCUCACCAGGACCUGCCGAGUCAGAGCUUCGAUUUUGGCUAAUCCAGUUGUGGGAUGGAUCCUUAGAACCAGGGGAGGGGGUCUAGGUUCCUGCUUUGAAAGAAUCGGUAUCUCUUUUGAUAUAUUUUUUGUUUUUUCAUUUACGAUUCUUAGGGCUUCUGUGACGGCCAGCGAUGGGAAAACAGAGAAAGAUGUUUCUGUAAAACGUUUUAAUAUAAAAUAUUAUAUUAUUAACUGGAUGAGCUCUUCACUCAGACCCAAUUCUACUCUGAAUUUCUUCUUGAGAAAAUGGAGGAUAUCACAAAAAAUGGGACAGAAGGUGAGACCCAAAAAGCUGAGCCCGAGAAGAAAGGAGGUCGUGGACGCAAAAGAAAUGAUGCUACUCAGGUAAGCCAGUGUGCUGUGGAGAUGAGAUGGGUUGAUACAUAUUUUCCAUUUACUGAGCUUUCGAGCUUGAGAUAUAUUUUUAAGGAAGACUGGUGAGAAGUUUCGGGCUGUGGGGUGACAGAACAAAGAAUUUUGAAGCAGAGUGGAUUAGAAAAUAAUGUUGCUUGGGACUUUGGACUUGGACUUAAUAGAAAGACUCAAAAAAGACCUGCAAUUACAUACCUUUGAACCCUCGCCGUUGCUACAAGUAUACUAAGAGGAGGCGUUGCAGGGCUUGAAUUUGACAACCAGGGAGUAUUCGUAGUCUGCCACAUGAUCAGGAUGCUUGACCGUUCAUGACUUUGACACUCAAUAUUACCGCAAUAAUGCCAAGGCAGUUGGAAUACCUGUUAAGGAGUUGAAAGUGUUCUCCAAGAUCUUUUAAAGGAGAUCACCAUGCUUUUAACCUUUAACAAACUUCAGUGAAAAUGAGCAGCUUUACAAGUGUGGGGAUACAAAGUCUGCAAGAGGUAUUAUGCCCUGCGAGAACUUAAGAAACUGAUUGAGGUGGCAGAGAAGCUCCGUGAGAAGAGGUGGCCUUGAAAAUUCGGUUUAGAUUAGUUUCUGGUUUAAAUUGAGUUAGAUUUUUUUUUUUAAUUUGGUUUAGUGUAAACAGAUUAUUUUGGUUUAGUUUGAUGUUUGUAAACUGAUUUUUAUUAAUAAAAUUUUUUAUUUAUA